rnacentral:rRNA from 1 species
CGGAAACGGGGUCUAAUACCGGAUACGACACAGACCUGCAUGGGUUCUGUGUGGAAAGUUUUUCGGUGGGGGAUGUGCUCGCGGCCUAUCAGCUUGUUGGUGGGGUAAUGGCCUACCAAGGCUUCGACGGGUAGCCGGCCUGAGAGGGUGACCGGCCACACUGGGACUGAGACACGGCCCAGACUCCUACGGGAGGCAGCAGUGGGGAAUAUUGGACAAUGGGCGGAAGCCUGAUCCAGCAACGCCGCGUGAGGGAUGACUGCCUUCGGGUUGUAAACCUCUUUCAGUGGGGACGAAGCGCAAGUGACGGUACCCACAGAAGAAGCACCGGCCAACUACGUGCCAGCAGCCGCGGUAAUACGUAGGGUGCGAGCGUUGUCCGGAAUUAUUGGGCGUAAAGGGCUCGUAGGCGGUUUGUCGCGUCGGGAGUGAAAACACCGGGCUUAACUCGGUGCUGGCUUUCGAUACGGGCAGACUAGAGGUAUUCAGGGGAGAACGGAAUUCCUGGUGUAGCGGUGAAAUGCGCAGAUAUCAGGAGGAACACCGGUGGCGAAGGCGGUUCUCUGGGAAUUACCUGACGCUGAGGAGCGAAAGUGUGGGGAGCGAACAGGAUUAGAUACCCUGGUAGUCCACACCGUAAACGUUGGGCGCUAGGUGUGGGGUCCAUUCCACGGAUUCCGUGCCGCAGCUAACGCAUUAAGCGCCCCGCCUGGGGAGUACGGCCGCAAGGCUAAAACUCAAGGAAUUGACGGGGGCCCGCACAAGCGGCCGGGAGCAUGCGGAUUAUUCGAUGCAACGCGAAGAACCUUACCUGGGUUUGACAUACCACCCGGGAAAGCUGCAGAGAUGUAGCCCCUUUUAGUCGGUGUACAGGUGGUGCAUGGCUGUCGUCAGUCGU